rfam:Camelus ferus unplaced genomic scaffold scaffold1001, whole genome shotgun sequence.
GAGGGUAUAGCUCAGUGCUAGAUUGCAUGCUUAGCAUGCACGAGGUCAUGGGUUCAAUCCCCAGUACCUCCA